UCCCAUCUAUUUCUCUACCUCGUGUUGUAGCAUUGGUUGCGAGGAGCCAGGAACAAUGAGGCGCAGCUCUCAAUCUCCCCUUGUCUUCCUUCUCCUUGUCAUCAUCCUCUCCACCCCAACGGCAACUGUUGCUUCUCGUUUCCUGCGGCCACCAAGACAAGAACUUGUGAAGCUGAACAGGCUUCAAGGAUUGGAGCAUGCAGAAGGACCGGAGGAAGAGGAAGCUUGGAAUCUCAUGGGAACGGAAGUGUGUCAGCACGGAAACGAAGAAUGCCUAAAGAGGAGAGAGAUGACUGAGGCCCAUUUGGACUAUAUUUACACGCAACACCACACUAAGCCGUAGAAAAGGAAAGCAAGAAAGAAGCAAAGCAAGGAUGCGUUGUGAUGGGCUCUCAGAAAAGUUGCUUAAGGUAUCUAGGGUUCUUGAGAUCCCAUCUCUCACCUAACGAGUCAUAUAUACCCGAGGGGGAAUGAUAGAAGCAUCAGGUGGCAUUUAGUCUUAUAGAAAGAUGUUUUGUAUGGAUCUGUUGCCAUGUAAUGUCUGUGACGGCAUGACCUGAGCUAACACCAUUUUAAUAUAUAAAUAUAAAUAGUGGCAUAUAAUGUCAUAUGCUUUCCGUGUUU